rnacentral:rRNA from 1 species
UACGUAGGGGGCAAGCGUUGUCCGGAAUCAUUGGGCGUAAAGCGCGUGUAGGCGGUUCAGUAAGUCUGCUGUGAAAGUCCAGGGCUCAACCCUGGGAUGCCGGUGGAUACUGCUGGGCUAGAGUACGGAAGAGGCGAGUGGAAUUCCCGGUGUAGCGGUGAAAUGCGCAGAUAUCGGGAGGAACACCAAUUGCGAAGGCGGCUAUCUGGACGCAUACUGACGCUGAAGUUCGAAAGCGUGGGGAGCAAACAGG